GGACAGUAAGAGAAGGGCACACGGGGGAUGCCUUGGCGUCUAGUGCCGAUGAAGGACGUGGUACACUGCGAGAAGUUCCGGUCAGGCGUGUGCAGCCGUUAGCAGCCGGAAAUGUCCGAAUGGGGAAACCCACCCGAAGUCAUGUUCGGGUACGUCGAAAGACGAGGGAACCGGGUGAAACUGGAAAACAUCUAAAGUAACCCCGAGGAAAAAGAGAUGAUUCGCGAGUAGUGGCGAGCGAAAGCG
rnacentral:ncRNA from 1 species